GAUGAACGCUAGCGAUAGGCUUAACACAUGCAAGUCGAGGGGCAGCAUGGUCUUAGCUUGCUAAGACUGAUGGCGACCGGCGCACGGGUGCGUAACGCGUAUGCAACUUGCCUCACAGAGGGGGAUAACCCGUCGAAAGACGGACUAAUACCGCGUACACUCCAUCUUGGGCAUCCAAGGUAGAGGAAAUGAAUUUCGCUGUGAGAUAGGCAUGCGUCCCAUUAGCUAGUUGGUGAGGUAACGGCUCACCAAGGCGACGAUGGGUAGGGGAACUGAGAGGUUGAACCCCCACACUGGUACUGAGACACGGACCAGACUCCUACGGGAGGCAGCAGUGAGGAAUAUUGGUCAAUGGGCGAGAGCCUGAACCAGCCAAGUCGCGUGAAGGAUGACUGUCUUAUGGAUUGUAAACUUCUUUUAUACGGGAAUAACAAGAGUCACGUGUGGCUCCCUGCAUGUACCGUAUGAAUAAGCAUCGGCUAACUCCGUGCCAGCAGCCGCGGUAAUACGGAGGAUGCGAGCGUUAUCCGGAUUUAUUGGGUUUAAAGGGUGCGUAGGCGGCCUGUUAAGUCAGCGGUGAAAUCUAGGAGCUUAACUCCUAAAUUGCCAUUGAUACUGGCGGGCUUGAGUGUAGAUGAGGUAGGCGGAAUGCGUGGUGUAGCGGUGGAAUGCAUAGAUAUCACGCAGAACUCCGAUUGCGAAGGCAGCUUACUAAGGUACAACUGACGCUGAAGCACGAAAGCGUGGGUAUCAAACAGG
rnacentral:rRNA from 1 species